GCCGACAUAGCUCAAUUGGCAGAGCAGCCGCCUUGUAAGCGGCAGGUCAUGGGUUCAAGUCCCAUUGUCGGCU
rnacentral:tRNA from 1 species